rnacentral:rRNA from 1 species
UGGGGAAUAUUGGACAAUGGGCGCAAGCCUGAUCCAGCAAUGCCGCGUGCAGGACGACGGCUUUCGGGUUGUAAACUGCUUUUGUGUGGGACGAUAACGACGGUACCACGCGAAUAAGCCCCGGCUAACUCUGUGCCAGCAGCCGCGGUAAUACAGAGGGGGCAAGCGUUGUCCGGACUUACUGGGCGUAAAGCGCACGCAGAUGGUAGCGCAAGUGGGGUGUGAAAGCCGCCAGCUUAACUGGCGGAGGCCAUCCCAAACUGCGUCACUUGAGGCCUGUAGAGGUAUGUGGAAUUGCCGGUGUAGUGGUGAAAUGCGUAGAGAUCGGCAGGAACACCCAGGGGGAAACCAGCAUACUGGACAGGUCCUGACACUCAGGUGCGAUAGCGUGGGGAGCGAACCGGAUUAGAUACCCCUGUAGUCC